GAAGCCAAAAAUUAGAGUAUUCCAUGAGGAUUGAAGAAACUCCCUUUUCACCCCUCCCGUAGAAAAUCUCAAAUGGAAUUUUCCAUGUUUCCAUAUUUCAGGUAUGAAUUUAAAGGAAAAUUGUUGAAGAAAUUUAGUUGAUUGUUAAAUUCUCUUCAAUUCGGUGUAUAUGACACAUGUUCUCACGGAUUAAUUUUUAUCAGAUAUUAGAUUUCGUGUAAUCUGAAAUAUUGUUAAUAAAACACACACAUACAUACGCAUAGAUACUUCUUUUACAUUUGUGAUUCGGUGUAUAAAACACAUACAUACAUACGCAUAGAUACUUCUUUUACAUUUGUGAUUGCUAAAUCGUGGUUUUUAUGGUGUUUGUAGAUAUGCCCUUUUGAAACUUGGAAGCAGAUGUCAUAUAAACUAAAAAAACCUGGAUUCUCAGGUAUUCUGUUUAAUUUCCUUUUAUCUAUAAUGAAAAAAAAAACCAUGAUAUAAAAGUUUAUUGAGGAUGGACGGCCUGGCAACUCCGGAAGGUAGAUCAACAUCGAAACAACACAAUAUUUGUUUCCUCUUACAUCACUACUCUUCUCAUAUUUGUGUUAACGUAUGAAAAUUCUUACUAUGUAUAAAAAUGUUUGCCGAUUUUAUUUUUUGUUUUUCUAAAUUACUCUAUUUGUGUGUAUUUGUAAAUCUUCAUUUUUUAAGUUUUGUUCUUUUCCAGAGGGUUCGAUGAAUUAUUGGCCGUAUAUUUCCGGGUAUUAUCAGAUAUAUUGUACAUUGAUGAAUUCUUGCUGGAUUUUCGCAAAAUAUAUUUCAUGUUUUUGUUGUUGUUUGCUAUUUUUGUUUAUGAAAGGUGUCUGUUGUUUUCGUUCUCAUAUAGUUUGAUUUUUUUAAAUUAGUGUAGGUUUAUGUUGCGUUGUUUUUGUUUGCUAUUUUGCUUUUUUUUUUUCGAGAAAAGAUUUCGAUAUUUUUUAUUUUAUUUUAUUCUAUUGUAUUUUUAGUUUGCUAUUUCUUUCAUUUUCUUCAGGAUUUGUCGAAACAAUGAGCAAUUAAAAAUGACGAAGCCAUAUCCAUUCUCAGCGCGCUGUUUUUUGGGCUUGCAUUCAUUAUGGUAUUUUUUCUUCUACACAAACAUGAACCUUCUUUUUUUAUUUUGUCUUUAUGAUUUGGAUGUUUUUGUUUAAAGGAUUACUAUGGAGUUUUGUUGCUUUUUUUGUGAAAUCAUGAAAACAAUAUCCUGUUACAUUCUUUAAGACACUCAAAAAUAAUUUGCACGUUAAUUUGUUCAGUUUUGUUGUUUUUAGUUUUCUCAUGUCCUAUAUUGGCUUGGUACUGAUACAAACAUUUAAUCUUAAUUUACUUCAAUUUGUUUGGCCUAUAAUAUGUAAGGAUAGUUAAAGGCAUCAAUGUAUUAUGUUUUGGUUCCCUUCUAAUUCAUGUUAAUUCAGUUUAUUAGCUCUCUAAUAUAAUAGUGUUGACAUUACCCAUUGUUUUACUAUUGUCUAUACCGGAUGUGUUUUUUUUUGUUCCAGUCUGUAUGGAUAUAUAUAGUUACAUCAUGGAGGGCAAGGAGUUGAGGUUAGCAUGAAGAACAACUACAAGAAGAAACGAAAGGGCUUAACCGGAGCAUAAGUCUCAUGCUAACGGAAAUUUUCCUAUCCAAAACAUUAAUCUUAUAUGUUAUGAUCAUUACGAAGAGCGGAACAAUAGUUUGCUUCAUGAUUCUACAUAAUGGUGACUAUUUGACUCGGCACAUCUAGGCAAAGUCAGAGGUUGCUGAUUAUCAUAAGUUUCUUUCUUCUCGAUUAAAAGAACAUAGAGAGAGGUGGACUGAGAGUUUGUCUCUAGAAGUCCGAUGAUUUCGAGAGUGGUUUUUUCCUUACCGAUGGAUCUAUGAAAACUGAGGUGUUUGAAUUUUUAAUUUUGUAUCAACCUGUUUUAUUCUAAAAAUGAAUUAAAGAAUAUUUUGAUGUUUCUUAGCAUGUCAAAAAAUAGUUU
rnacentral:lncRNA from 1 species